rnacentral:rRNA from 1 species
CAAUAGCGUAUAUUAAAGUUGUUGCAGUUAAAAAGCUCGUAGUUGGAUUUGUGGCGUACGGUGUGUUCCGGGCACUUGUUGUCUGAGUAACCUGCUGUUGCCAUCCUUGGAUGGAACCUGUGUGGCAUUAGGUUGUCGUGCAGGGGAUGCCCAUCAUUUACUGUGAAAAAAUUAGAGUGUUCAAAGCAGGCUUAUGCCGUUGAAUAUAUUAGCAUGGAAUAAUGAGAUAGGACUUUUUUGCUAUUUUGUUGGUUUGCGCAAAGAGGUAAUGAUUAAUAGGGACAGUUGGGGGUAUUCGUAUUCCAUUGUCAGAGGUGAAAUUCUUGGAUUUUUGGAAGACGAACUACUGCGAAAGCAUUUACCAAGGAUGUUUUCAUUAA